UACGAAGGGUGCUAGCGUUGCUCGGAAUUACUGGGCGUAAAGCGCACGUAGGCGGAUCGUUAAGUCGGGGGUGAAAUCCUGGAGCUCAACUCCAGAACUGCCUUCGAUACUGGCGAUCUCGAGUUCGGGAGAGGUGAGUGGAACUGCGAGUGUAGAGGUGAAAUUCGUAGAUAUUCGCAAGAACACCAGUGGCGAAGGCGGCUCACUGGCCCGAUACUGACGCUGAGGUGCGAAAGCGUGGGGAGCAAACAGG
rnacentral:rRNA from 1 species